GAGGGUACAGCUCAGUGGUAGAGUGUGUAUUUAGAAUGCAUUAGGUCCUGGGUUCAAUCCCCAGUACCUCG
rnacentral:tRNA from 1 species